rnacentral:rRNA from 1 species
AUGGCUCAGGAUGAACGCUAGCUACAGGCUUAACACAUGCAAGUCGAGGGGCAGCAUGAAGGAAGCUUGCUCCUUGAUGGCGACCGGCGCACGGGUGAGUAACGCGUAUCCAACUCCCCUUAGUAGGGCAUAGCCCGUAGAAAUGCGGAUUAAUACCCUAUGUUCUCGUUGAGGACAUCUGAGAUGGAGCAAAGCUUUUGCGCUAAGGGAUGGGGAUGCGUCCGAUUAGGUAGUAGGCGGGGUAACGGCCCACCUAGCCGUCGAUCGGUAGGGGUUCUGAGAGGAAGGUCCCCCACACUGGAACUGAGACACGGUCCAGACUCCUACGGGAGGCAGCAGUGAGGAAUAUUGGUCAAUGGGCGUAGGCCUGAACCAGCCAAGUAGCGUGGAAGGACGACGGCCCUACGGGUUGUAAACUCCUUUUAUGCGGGGAUAAAGUGCAGCACGUGUGCUGUUUUGCAGGUACCGCAUGAAUAAGGACCGGCUAAUUCCGUGCCAGCCGCUGC